UCAAUGCCGGGAGAGAGUACGCACGGAUCGGACCGGAGAAAUGUUCGGAGAUGAUGAACCAAUGAAUGGAAGCGAAUCGGAAGCUCAAACAAAUCUGGACGGAAUCUCUAUCCGCCGACGGCGCAACGAGAGCUUGGAAGACGGAGAAUGCGUAAGAUUCCAGAGGACGACGAAAGUAAAGAGAGGUGAGACGACGAUCGGAGAGAGACUAGCGAAAGGAGGCGACUUGGGCGCGCGGGAGAGAGAGAAAG